rnacentral:rRNA from 1 species
UACGGAGGGGGCUAGCGUUGUUCGGAAUUACUGGGCGUAAAGCGCGCGUAGGCGGACCUGCAAGUCGGGGGUGAAAGCCCGAGGCUCAACCUCGGAACUGCCUUCGAUACUGCGGGUCUCGAGUCCGGAAGAGGUGAGUGGAAUUCCUAGUGUAGAGGUGAAAUUCGUAGAUAUUAGGAAGAACACCAGUGGCGAAGGCGGCUCACUGGUCCGGUACUGACGCUGAGGUGCGAAAGCGUGGGGAGCAAACAGG